rfam:Oryza barthii chromosome 9, whole genome shotgun sequence.
AAAAAGACAAACUCUGAAUUUCCGUGUCUAACUUUAACUGUUUGUCUUAUAUGAAAUUUUUUUAUAAUUCGUAUUUUUAUUAUUGUUAGAUGAUAAAACAUGAUUAAUAUUUUUAUGCGUAACUUGUCUUUUUAUUUUUUUCAUAAUUUUUUCAAAUAAGACGAACGGUCAAACGUUGGGCACGGAAACCAGGGUUAUCUUUUUU